rnacentral:rRNA from 1 species
GAUGAACGCUGGCGGCGUGCCUAAUACAUGCAAGUCGAGCGAACAGAUGAGGAGCUUGCUCCUCUGACGUUAGCGGCGGACGGGUGAGUAACACGUGGAUAACCUACCUAUAAGACUGGGAUAACUUCGGGAAACCGGAGCUAAUACCGGAUAAUAUAUUGAACCGCAUGGUUCAAUAGUGAAAGACGGUUUUGCUGUCACUUAUAGAUGGAUCCGCGCCGCAUUAGCUAGUUGGUAAGGUAACGGCUUACCAAGGCAACGAUGCGUAGCCGACCUGAGAGGGUGAUCGGCGACACUGGAGCUGAGACACGGUCCAGGCGCCUACGGGAGGCAGCAGUAGGGAAUCUUCCGCAAUGGGCGAAAGCCUGACGGAGCAACGCCGCGUGAGUGAUGAAGGUCUUCGGAUCGUAAAACUCUGUUAUUAGGGAAGAACAAAUGUGUAAGUAACUAUGCACGUCUUGACGGUACCUAAUCAGAAAGCCACGGCUAACUACGUG